rnacentral:rRNA from 1 species
AAUGAACGCUGGCGGCGCGCCUAAUACAUGCAAGUCGAGCGAGAAGACGUAGCAAUACGUUUGUAAAGCGGCGAACGGGUGAGGAAUACAUGGGGUAACCUACCCUCGAGUGGGGAAUAACUAGCCGAAAGGUUAGCUAAUACCGCGUACGCUUCUUGGACUUCGGUUCAGGGAGGGAAGCGAUACCGUGGGUAUCGCGCUCUUGGAUGGGCUCAUGUCCUAUCAGCUUGUUGGGAGGUAACGGCUCACCAAGGCUUCGACGGGUAGCUGGUCUGAGAGGACGAUCAGCCACACUGGCACUGCGACACGGGCCAGACUCCUACGGGGAGGCAGCAGUAAGGAAUAUUGCG